rnacentral:tRNA from 1 species
GCUGGUAUAGCUCAGUGACAGAGUGAGUGCUUGGUGUGCAAAAGGUCCUGGGUUCAAUCCCCAGCACCUCCA